rnacentral:rRNA from 1 species
UUCCAGACUCCUACGGGAGGCAGCAGUGGGGAAUAUUGGGCAAUGGGCGCAAGCCUGACCCAGCAAUGCCGCGUGAAGGAAGAAGGCUUUCGGGUUGUAAACUUCUUUGACAGGGGAAGAGCAGAAGACGGUACCCUGAAAACAAGCCACGGCUAACUACGUGCCAGCAGCCGCGGUAAUACGUAGGUGGCAAGCGUUGUCCGGAUUUACUGGGUGUAAAGGGCGUGUAGCCGGGUUGACAAGUCAGAUGUGAAAUCCUGCGGCUUAACCGCAGAACUGCAUUUGAAACUGUUGAUCUUGAGCACUGGAGAGGCAGACAGAAUUCCUAGUGUAGCGGUGAAAUGCGUAGAUAUUAGGAGGAACACCAGUGGCGAAGGCGGUCUGCUGGACAGCAACUGACGGUGAGGCGCGAAAGCGUGGGGAGCAAACAGGAUUAGAUACCCCCGUAGA